GCCUAGGGUCGUGGUUGAUUAGGAGAUGGGCCGAAGGCCAUGUUUGAUUUGAGUUUUUGUUUUAGAAAAGUAUGAAAAACUAAACUGGUUCAACAUAGACUUAAUGAACAUAUGCCUGGAACAAUUUGGUCAUUCAUGCUGUCUAGGAAAAACUUUUAAAAAGGCUUUCAGAUUUAUGAGAAAUUAACAAUUUUUCCCUUUCAAAAAGGAUAUCGGAUUUUGAAUAUUAAAUCUUUAGUUUUGAAUAGGUGCAUAAGGCAUUUAUUAAUCACUGCACUUUAAAAACGGUCUUAUUUUCGUAUCUUAUUAUAGCAAUUCUGUGACCCUAUAGUGAGAACCCUUUCGAGGACGAUGUUCUCACUUCCCUACAAGUUUUUCCCUUUUCAAGAUAUGGACGAUGAAGCUUUAGAAGAGUUAUAUUCAUUUUCUGUUUAUUCGAUAUUAUUUUGUAUUCUCUUAGGUAUUAUUGUUCCCUUGCCUUUAUUUUUAGAAAUUUUUGCAAAAGAGAUACAAGUUUU